rnacentral:lncRNA from 14 species
AUCGUACUAUUUUUUAUUUAUUACAAGUAAAUGUUUACUCGAGUGGGCUUGACUCAGUUGCAUUUCCUAUAGUUUCAAUAAUAUCAUAGCUUGAGCUAUUUUAACCCAUAGUGUUCCCGUUUUACUUCACAGAGGUCUCAAACCCUUUCUGGUGAGCUCGGGCUGGGACACCACCUUUGGCUUGAGGUUGAAGCCCAGACAUGGGCGCUCGUUUCUCCUGCUGCUGUGCAUCUCGAGUUGCAGCACUGAGAUGGGUGAUUUCACAAGGGUGAUGUGCUGACCGCAUGGAAUUGAUUCUUCCACCAAGAUUCUUCUCAGAGAUGGAUGUGCAGUAGCAACAUAAACAUUAAAUGGAAGCAAAUUGGCAAUUGCCCCUUCAGGACUUGGGACUGUUGUAAAACUGGAGGAAAUGAAAACUCAUGAUUGGCUCUGGAGGAAAACACUGCCUUCUGGAAAGAAUAAGGAGAUUCCUGGAUCAAUAUUAAGAAUUAAUGUCUACCUGAGCUAAUGGGAG